rnacentral:rRNA from 1 species
AAGACCUUUGCACUUUUGGAGCGGCCGAUGUCUGAUUAGCUAGUUGGUGGGGUAAUGGCCUACCAAAGCUUCGAUCAGUAGCUGGUCUGAGAGGACGGCCAGCCACACUGGGACUGAGACACGGCCCAGACUCCUACGGGAGGCAGCAGUGGGGAAUUUUGGACAAUGGGCGCAAGCCUGAUCCAGCCAUGCCGCGUGAGUGAAGAAGGCCUUCGGGUUGUAAAGCUCUUUCAGCCGGGAAGAAAAGGUUGCGACUAAUAAUCGCAAUUCAUGACGGUACCGAAAGAAGAAGCACCGGCUAACUACGUGCCAGCAGCCGCGGUAAUACGUAGGGUGCGAGCGUUAAUCGGAAUUACUAGGCGUAAAGGGUGCGCAGGCGGUUUUGUAAGUCAGAUGUGAAAUCCCCGGGCUUAACCUGGGAACU